AUCAGUGAAAGCAGGCAAUGUGAGCUGCUGAUGUGCAGAAGACUAGGCAAUAUUUUUGUAACUGCCCUUGUUGUUAAGUUUUGUGUAGCCAACCCGUUAUUCUCUUUGGUAAUUUUGUUUAUUUUGAAAAACUGAAAAAUGAAUCUUGCAAAUGGAGAAACAUGAAAAAGUAGAAAGUAAAAACACAUCUUUGAAACGGGGGCUGCUUGCAGAAUACAUUUCCUGUGUUUGACAGCAAAGACGGAGUAGAAGAAGCACCCGUUUAAACUCAAUGCUCUUUUGUUCCACGUUAUUGUAUUUGAUUGAUACGGGAUCUAUACAGUUUGAAAUUCUCAUUAAAAAAAAAAACAAGAACAAAACAAACAAACAAAUAAAAAAACGUAAUUGAGAUGUGUGACUUAAUGCCAGCCACGCAACCCACCGAAAAAAUGGGCAAAAUGAAAAAGUUGCGAAGAACUUUGUCAGAGAGUUUCAGCCGGAUUGCUUUCAAGAAAGAUGACAAUGACUUUGAUGAGAUAUGUGUCACAAAGAUGUCUACACGCAAUUGCCAGGGAAUGGACUCAAAACCCCUGGACACCAUUCCUGAGGACAAGAAGGUCAAGGUUCAAAGGACACAAAGCAACUUUGACCCCUUUGAAAAGCCAGCCAAUCAAGUGAAGAGGGUCCAUUCAGAAAACAAUGCUUGCAUUAACUUCAAGGGAUCUUCCACAGGAAAGGAAUCCCCAAAACUCAGGCGACAUUCUAGCCCAAGCUCGCCAACAAGCCCAAAGUUUGGAAAAACAGACUCCUAUGAAAAACUUGAAAAACUAGGAGAGGGGUCAUACGCUACAGUAUACAAGGGCAAGAGCAAGGUAAAUGGGAAGUUAGUUGCACUUAAAGUGAUCAGGUUACAAGAAGAAGAAGGGACUCCUUUUACAGCAAUCAGGGAAGCCUCGCUUUUGAAAGGCCUGAAACACUCCAACAUAGUGCUGCUACACGACAUCAUCCACACAAAAGAAACACUAACUCUGGUUUUCGAGUAUGUGCACACUGAUUUAUGCCAGUACAUGGACAAGCACCCUGGGGGUCUUAAUCCAGACAACGUGAAGUUAUUUUUAUUUCAAUUGCUCCGGGGAUUGUCCUACACCCACCAGCGGUACAUUCUGCACAGGGACCUGAAACCUCAGAACCUGCUGAUCAGCGACACAGGAGAAUUGAAGCUCGCAGACUUCGGUCUUGCUAGAGCCAAGUCAGUCCCUAGCCACACAUACUCUAAUGAGGUGGUAACCCUCUGGUACAGACCUCCAGAUGUUCUCCUGGGCUCCACAGACUACUCCACCAGCCUUGACAUGUGGGGAGUAGGAUGCAUCUUUGUAGAAAUGAUCCAAGGAAUUGCAGCAUUUCCAGGAAUGAAGGAUAUCCAAGACCAGCUUGAAAGGAUAUUUUUGAUUCUGGGGACCCCAACAGAGGAUAUAUGGCCUGGUGUCCACUCCCUGCCUCAUUUCAAGCCAGAAUGGUUUACCCAGUAUAGUCCAAAGAAACUGAGGCAAGUGUGGAAUAAACUAGGUUAUGUGAAUCAUGCAGAGGAACUAGCCACCAGGUUCCUCCAGUGCUUCCCAAAGAACAGACUGUCAGCACUGGCAGCCAUGAACCACGAGUACUUCAGUGAUCUUCCCCCACGGCUCUGGGAGCUGUCAGACAUGUCCUCUGUUUUCACUGUUCACGAUGUCAAGUUACAACCUGAAACAGGAGACGGCAUAAAGGUUUGUGGGAAAACCAACAGUCACAGUAAAGGUUCAUCCAACAACCAACACUGACAGGACACCAUAUUCCACAGAGCAGGAAUUCAGACUUUUGCAAAGGAUAUUCAUCAACCAAGGAGUCCGAGCUCUGACAAGCAGAAAGAAUAGAAAUGGAUUACUCUAUUUAGAUCCCUACGGUCAACAGUACAUAGGAGAGCAACUGAUUUAAAGAUGAUUUCAAUUGACAAGACUUCCCUCCUUCCCUACUGUGUGUCUAUUCUAUACCUGUGUUUUAUGAUGUUGACAGUCAGAUUCCAGUGUGCAUGGAACACCUUCUGGUUUUAAUUGGUUGGUUGUAUAGUUUGUUUACUGUUACAUGGAAUGUGCCCCCCCCCCCCCCCCUUUAUUGAAAAUGAUUCCUUACAGUGAAUCAGUGUUUUAGUAAAUUUUUUCGUUAACAGCUCUUUUCAUAAGCAGGCUUGUUAGUGUAUUUGAAUGUCACCAAUAAUACUUUUACAUAAAACCAGUCCACUGUGACAAAAAGGCAUUACAUUAUUCUUUAUGCCAUUUAAUUUUUUAAAGGACUGUUUCUGACAGUGCUGUGGAAUAUGAUCAAGGCAAUAAUAAUUUAGUUUAUUCUUCAAACAGCAACAGAAAGUAUUUUUUGGACAGCUCUAUACUAUAUUUAAGGCUAAAUCAGUUUGAGGUUUUUGCUACCAUGAUCUAAUAGGAAUUAAAAAUGUAUACUUUAGCAUUUGUUGAAAACCAUUAAAAUGUAUUGGGACAUACAUUAUAGGCUAUUAUUUUUAAUGUUUUGUUUUUCAUAUUGUUCCCCCCCUCCCUCCCUCCCUCUCUCUCUCUCUCUCUCCCUCCCUCCCUCCCUCCCUCCCUCCCUCCCUCUCUCUCUCUCCCUCCCUCCCUCCCUCUCUCUCUCUCCCUCCCUCUCUCUCUCUCCCUCUCUUCCUCUCUCUCUCCCUCUCUCUCUCUCUAUAUAUAUAUAUAUAGACACAGUAGAUGUGUGUAUAUAAACAUGCAUAUUAUAUACUGUUGGUAAACAUAUAAACCAUAUUUAUUACACAAAUAUUGAUAUAUAAGUAUACAUUAAAGCAGAGUCGAAUACAUUUAAAAAAAUGUUGACAGUGGAAGGAGAUCAUGUUUCCCUGAUCCAUGCAACUUCAAACUUAUUGGAACCCCUAAGGGAAUACUUUCCCCAUUACCAAGGAAAGAGACCCCUGCUGUGCAUGACGAAGAUACAGAAAAAUACUCUCAUAUGUGCUGGAAUUUCAACCCUUAACAAAUAAGGGGAGGGGCCUUAACCUAAAGUGGUAUAUCUGAAAAUAUUUUCUGAAUUAUUUAUUUUCCUGUGCAUACUCUUAACUAAUACAUAAAAAACUGUAAACAUCGUAUCAUGUUUACAUUUUAUGUAAGAAAGCAUAUUAGACAACCAAAUAUAAAAUGCUACCGUAAUAUUUAGAUAAGUAUUGGUCUACACAUGAUGCGGGCCAUACAUUUUGUACCUAGAUUUAGUGAAAGGAACUUCAUCUCCUACGUAAACUAGAAUACAUCUUUUCAUUUGUAUUCAGUUAAAAAGCUAUAUUACACUCCCAGAGCCAAACUGCCAUUUAGUUAUUGCAUGUCCCAUGGAUAAACACAUUCUAUGUGUACAAGUGGCAAUCUAGCUCUUUACAAUCCCAUUGUCAGUCAUUAAGCACUAAGAAACCAGUGUUGUUUUGAAAUUAAAUGAAGAAGUCUGGUAACACUUUUCAACUUCAUAUGAGCAAAAGUUGAAUUAUUAUAAACUAAUGAUCACUUCAUUGGAACUUCAGUGUAAUUACUAUUAACAUCAAAGGCUGAAGUUAGUACUGGAGUAUCUAAAUCCAUUAAAUUGAAUAAUAUAUACAGACAAGAAGUUUCCCAUGAUGAUAUUGUAAAAAUUAUAUUAAAAAUGAUAUUAAACUGUCAGCUUGUUUAUCAUAUGUUGCAAUAUAGUAGGUAGUAUGUUUAUUAUGGAGAAAAAUAAACAAAAAAAAAACUAUUAGGAUAUGUAGGAAUGAAAACAAAA